AUUGAACGCUGGCGGCAGGCUUAACACAUGCAAGUCGAGCGGGGUGAUGGUGCUUGCACUAUCACUUAGCGGCGGACGGGUGAGUAAUGCUUAGGAAUCUGCCUAUUAGUGGGGGACAACAUCUCGAAAGGGAUGCUAAUACCGCAUACGUCCUACGGGAGAAAGCAGGGGAUCACUUGUGACCUUGUGCUAAUAGAUGAGCCUAAGUCGGAGUAGCUAGUUGGUGGGGUAAAGGCCUACCAAGGCGACGAUCUGUAGCGGGUCUGAGAGGAUGGUCCGCCACACUGGGACUGAGAAACGGCCCAGACUCCGAAGUGAGGCAGCAGUGGGGAAUAUUGGACAAUGGGGGGAACCCUGAUCCAGCCAUGCCGCGUGUGUGAAGAAGGCCUUAUGGUUGUAAAGCACUUUAAGCGAGGAGGAGGCUUACCUAGUUAAUACCUGGGAUAAGUGGACGUUACUCGCAGAAUAAGCACCGGCUAACUCUGUGCCAGCCGCCGCCGUAA
rnacentral:rRNA from 1 species